rnacentral:tRNA from 1 species
GAGGGUAUAGUUCGGCGGCAGAGUGCAUGCCUCACAUGCAAGAGGUCCUGGGUUAAAUCCCUAGUAUUCCCA